GGCUGAAAAUAGAGAAAAUGAGAGGGAAAUGGGAUGAAAGAGAGAAGGGGGGGGGUUUAACAGAUCAGGAGGCAGUAAACACUAACAGUGGGUGGAUGUUCUACAGUUGGUGUUACUAUUUCAUUAUCUAAUCAACAGAUGUAGUCUGGUAUUUGGCUGCUUGUCCUGCAUUCAGCAGCAUGAUCACUGGGCGUGGUGGUGCAGUGCCCUCAUUUCACCACAAGUUCUUCUCGUCAGUGCCUGCUACCUUUGAACAGGAAGGGUGGGCCCAGUACAUCAGUGCAUCACUCCAUCAAAAGUGAUCCAGCAUGCACAGUUCCAGAUCCCAGAGGCGUUGGCACACCUGAAUGGAAUUCCGUCAUAACUAAUGUUAUUUUAUUAUAAUUUAUAGCCACAGAAGGCUACUUUAAGAUACCCUGUUGAUUUUUCCACCACUAUUAACAUUAUGGAGCAAUGUUUUUAUGGGUGGGUUCCCUUUUUGUUUGUAUUGUGCACACACACAAGGACGCACAA